rnacentral:rRNA from 1 species
UGGGGAAUAUUGGACAAUGGGCGAAAGCCUAAUCCAGCCAUGCCGCGUGUGUGAAGAAGGUCUUCGGAUUGUAAAGCACUUUAAGUUGGGAGGAAGGGCAGUAAGCGAAUACCUUGCUGUUUUGACGUUACCGACAGAAUAAGCACCGGCUAACUCUGUGCCAGCAGCCGCGGUAAUACAGAGGGUGCAAGCGUUAAUCGGAAUUACUGGGCGUAAAGCGCGCGUAGGUGGUUCGUUAAGUUGAAUGUGAAAGCCCCGGGCUCAACCUGGGAACUGCAUCCAAACCUGGCGAGCUAGAGUAGGGCAGAGGGUGGUGGAAUUUCCUGUGUAGCGGUGGAAUGCGUAGAUAUAGGAAGGAACACCAGUGGCGAAGGCGACCACCUGGGCUCAUACUGACACUGAGGUGCGAAAGCGUGGGGAGCAAACAGG